rnacentral:rRNA from 1 species
CCCCGUCCCGGCCGGACCCGGGACGGCCACGGGUUACGGAGGUAAACGAACCGUUAACUUGGAAAACCCUUAGGCCCCGGUUAAGCAGGGGGAUAAGCGGAAGAAAUUCCGUCUAAUACCGCGUAACAACCCGAGGAGGCAUCUCCUCGGGUUUAAAGAAGCGAUUCCGGCUACGGAUGGUCAUGCGUCGCAUUAGCUAGUUGGCGGGGUAACGCCCACCAAGGCGACGAUGCGUAGGGGUUCUGAGAGGAAGGUCCCCCACACUGGUACUGAGACACGGACCAGACUCCUACGGGAGGCAGCAG